GAGCUGCCCUCAGAAAAACUCU
rnacentral:miRNA from 1 species